GAUGAACGCUGGCGGCGUGCCUAAUACAUGCAAGUCGAGCGAACAGACGAGGAGCUUGCUCCUCUGACGUUAGCGGCGGACGGGUGAGUAACACGUGGAUAACCUACCUAUAAGACUGGGAUAACUUCGGGAAACCGGAGCUAAUACCGGAUAAUAUAUUGAACCGCGUGGUUCAAUAGUAAAAUACGGUUGUGCUGUCACUUAUAGAUGGAUCCGCGCCGCAUUAGCUAGUUGGUAAGGUAACGGCUUACCAAGGCAACGAUGCGUAGCCGACCUGAGAGGGUGAUCGGCCACACUGGAACUGAGCCACCGACAAGACUCCUACGGGAGGCAGCAGUCGGGAAUCUUCCGCAAUGGGCGAAAGCCUGACGGAGCAACGCCGCGUGAGUGAUAAAGGCCUUCGGAUCGUAAAACUCUGUUAUUAGGGAAAAACAACUGUGUAAGUAACUAUGCCCGUCUUGACGGUACCUAAUAAGAAAGCCCCGGCUAACUACGUG
rnacentral:rRNA from 1 species